rnacentral:rRNA from 1 species
AUUGAACGCUAGCGGGAUGCUUUACACAUGCAAGUCGAACGGCAGCGCGAACUUCGGUUUGGCGGCGAGUGGCGAACGGGUGAGUAAUAUAUCGGAACGUACCCAGUAGCGGGGGAUAACUACUCGAAAGAGUAGCUAAUACCGCAUACGCCCUACGGGGGAAAGGGGGGGAUCGCAAGACCUCUCACUAUUGGAGCGGCCGAUAUCGGAUUAGCUAGUUGGUGGGGUAAAAGCCCACCAAGGCGACGAUCCGUAGCUGGUUUGAGAGGACGACCAGCCACACUGGGACUGAGACACGGCCCAGACUCCUACGGGAGGCAGCAGUGGGGAAUUUUGGACAAUGGGGGAAACCCUGAUCCAGCCAUCCCGCGUGUGCGAUGAAGGCCUUCGGGUUGUAAAGCACUUUUGGCAGGAAAGAAAUCGCAUGGGUUAAUAACCUGUGUGGAUGACGGUACCUGCAGAAUAAGCACCGGCUAACUACGUGCCAGCAGCCGCGGUAAUACGUAGGGUGCAAGCGUUAAUCGGAAUUACUGGGCGUAAAGCGUGCGCAGGCGGUUCGGAAAGAAAGAUGUGAAAUCCCAGGGCUUAACCUUGGAACUGCAUUUUUAACUACCGAGCUAGAGUAUGUCAGAGGGGGGUGGAAUUCCGCGUGUAGCAGUGAAAUGCGUAG